rnacentral:lncRNA from 1 species
UUUUUCCAAUGAGGCAUGGUGGCACACACUGCCCUUUGGAGGCAGAAGGACUGGAAGUUCAAGGCCACCUUGUCUUAAAAUAAACGCAUAGAAAUCCUACAAGCAUUGAAAAUAGGAUAAAGUUUUUAAAGAAAGUUUAGAUGAGAUUCUACAUGAAGCACACAUUUUAAUGCUUCCCAUUUUAUACAUGUCUAAACUCAGGGAAAUUUAAACCUUAGCCUUAGUAAAUAUGUCUUUACAAGUCUACACCCACUGAUGG